AUUCUCCAGCUGCUUGGUCCCUGCAGAAGAGCCAUAUUUAUCUAUGUCAUGCUUCAUAACAUAGUAUCAGAAUCAGAUCAUGUAACAAAUAUGAUAUUGAUAAAUACUCUAUUUCUUUUCCUUCUCUGUUCAGCUUCUGUCCAAACUAAUCACCGCUACAAUGGUGUAGGGAUGGUUUGGAUCUUUGUAAAUUUCUUUUCUUACAUGCAAAUUGGGCUUCAUUGUAAAUCAUCUAAUUUCUAUGUUAUACUUUCAUUUAUAUCAUAAUGUAUUCACAGAUCAUCCAAAAAAUACAAAGCCCUAAAUUUGAUAUUUCAAACCUUGAACAAAAGCAAUCACAAAUAAAC
rnacentral:misc_RNA from 1 species